rnacentral:rRNA from 1 species
UAGCUGUCACUUAUAGAUGGGCCCGCGGCGCAUUAGCUAGUUGGUGAGGUAAUGGCUCACCAAGGCGACGAUGCGUAGCCGACCUGAGAGGGUGAUCGGCCACACUGGGACUGAGACACGUCCCAGACCUGCACGGGAGGCUGGAGUAACUUCGGGAAACCGGUGGACGAAAGUCUGACGGAGCAACCCCGCGUGAACGAAGAAGGCYUCGGGUCGUAAAGU